GAAGAUUAGAGGACACACAGAGAGAGAUUAAUUGAUCACUAUUGGCAUUGUUUGAAUCCUAGAUCAAGUCUUGGCGGGGCACAGUGGCUCACACCUGUAAUUCCAGCACUGCACUUUGGGAGACCAAAAUGGAUGAUUCACCAAAGGGACAUAUUCGUGUUUGCAGUGCUUUAAAGCUUGACGCGAAUGUAGCCACUAACAAAGCAUAUCUCCCUCUCAAGCUCUCAUGGACUCUCUUCUAAUUGCCCAGUGAAAGAGCAGCAUCAAGAUGCUUGGGCAACAGCUAAUCGUUUAAAUCCAAAAACGAAGGAAAGGGAAAGAAUGCUCUUUGAAGACUCAGGAUAGGAGAAUUACCAAUGCAACGAAUAGAGCUUGUCUGAAAAUGAUGUUUGUCUCUAUCUUUUGCAAUAAGACCAAUAUUUAUUAAAGUAUGUUUGUG
rnacentral:lncRNA from 13 species